rnacentral:lncRNA from 1 species
UUCACGUUCAUCAAGAAAGCUUGCGAAGAAGAUCGAAGACCGGAAAAUAAUGCCCUUGACGUCGGCUUCAUUGCCGGUGAACAUACCGGACUGGUCAAAGAUUUUGAAGGACGAGUAUAGAGAGCAUAGCAAGAGAGAGAGCGAUGAAGACCGCGGCGGAGGCGGCGGCGAUGACGAUGAAGACAAGGAGGAAGAGUACUACGGGUUGGUUCCUCCUCAUGAAUAUUUAGCCAUGAGGAGGGGAGCUUCAUUUUCUGUUCAUGAAGGCAUAGGGAGGACUUUGAAAGGAAGAGAUCUGCGCCGGGUCAGAAAUGCAAUUUGGAAA